rnacentral:rRNA from 1 species
CACGUAGGGCGCAAGCGUUGUCCGGAAUUACUGGGCGUAAAGCGUGCGCAGGCGGUUUUGUAAGCCAGGUGUGAAAUCCCCGGGCUCAACCUGGGAAUGGCAUUUGGGACUGCAAGGCUGGAGUGUGGCAGAGGAGACUGGAAUUCCUGGUGUAGCAGUGAAAUGCGUAGAUAUCAGGAGGAAUACCGAUGGCGAAGGCAGGUCUCUGGGCUGACACUGACGCUCAUGCACGAAAGCGUGGGGAGCAAACAGG